CAGUAGCCACGGUAAUACGUAGGGCGCAAGCGUUAUCCGGAAUUAUUGGGCGUAAAGAGCUCGUAGGCGGUUUGUCGCGUCUGCCGUGAAAGUCCGGGGCUCAACCCCGGAUCUGCGGUGGGUACGGGCAGACUAGAGUGAUGUAGGGGAGACUGGAAUUCCUGGUGUAGCGGUGAAAUGCGCAGAUAUCAGGAGGAACACCGAUGGCGAAGGCAGGUCUCUGGGCAUUAACUGACGCUGAGGAGCGAAAGCAUGGGGAGCGAACAGGAUUAGAUACCCGGGUAGUCCCUGUCUCUUAUAA
rnacentral:rRNA from 1 species